AUGGCCCCAUCUUGUUGUACUGUGACAGUACUAGCGCCAUUGCACAAGCGAAGGAACCAAAGUCACAUCAAUAGACCAAGCACAUUCUACGUUGCUACCAUUUGGUCUGAGAGAUCAUGGAUUGAGAUGAUGUCGAGCUUCAGAAGAUCAAUAAAAAGUAGAAUCUGAUGACCUAUUUAUUAAAGCCCUUGGUGUCAAAGAGUUUGAACACUAUAAAUCAAAGAUAGGUAUACGAUACUACACUGAUUGGCUUUAGUUCAAGUGGAAGUUGUUGGAAAUUAUGUUUCAAUGUUAAUUGUUAGCCUGUUGAUGGUUGAGCUUAUUAUUAUAAUUGUAUAUGAAUUAUUGAAUUAAUAAAUAUUAUUUAAGUUUCUCAUCACUAUGGACAUCUUAUUUUGAACUCUCGUUACGUGAUGAAAUCUUCAGGACUAUUUGAUUCGAUAUAGAUGGAUAUAUUAUUUAGUCUUUAAACCUUAAGUUCACAACCAAAUGAUAUACUAUUAUUAGGACGAUAGCUAUAUCAAGUGUAGGUCGUUGUGUGCCAUGUACAUUGGUUGUCAUCUUAACCAAGAAAUGUGAAGACACUGGCAUAGUAUGCAAGUGAGACAUAGGAGUACAUCUCACUGAAUGUGAUCAACUGUUGAGAACUCUGCUGUCAAGAGUAGCUCAUGAAGGAUAUGGAUAUAAGUGUCCAUCCGAUCUGAGAUCACC
rnacentral:lncRNA from 1 species